rnacentral:snRNA from 1 species
AGCUUUUCUUUGCCAAUUCUGGCUUAGAUCAUGUGUAGUAUCUGUUCUUUCUAGUUUAACCGCUAGAAUGUCCUCACAGAGGGCACCUUACAUGGUUAUUCUUAUUUUUGUACCCGUCGACGAGCUCCCUGAGCUUGCUCAUAGCUUCGUUGGCACAGUGCCGGAGAUCUCACACUACUUUCUCCUGGCGCGACCUUCC